UUUCCCUGGGCCUUUAGAGAAGUAGGUAAACACAGAGAAAGAACAUGGACUUUCAAGUGAGACACACCUGGCUUUGCCACCCAUGCCACUGUGUACCUGAACCUCUCCAAGUUUCCCCAUUGCUGGUGUUUAUGGGGUUUUUUGGUGAAGAUUCAAUGCCAUAUAGAGUGUGAACGGACCCAGUAUAGUAUGUGCAUUAGCAGGGGCUCAACACAUGUUAGUUUCUGUCUUUGCGUUUUAUCUGCUCCAAAGUUGUUGGGAAAGGAUGAAGCAGAUGUGGAAGGGGAGUGGCCACCUAGAACAGCGUUCCCAAUCUUUAGUACUCACGUGUGGAUUAUGUUCAUGAGUACAACAAGGAGGAUAAAUUGUGGUGUUUUGUAACCUUAUUCUGUUUCUUUUCCACUGAAAAAAUCAUGGGAAUGCAAAUCAGCAGAAGAGUGGUAUUACAAAAAUGUGAAUCUACCACAACUUUAAUAAUUUAUUAUUUGUAUUGCAUUAUCUGUGAUAUACCUCACAAUUGAUAGUGACUCAGCAGUGUUGCAACACUUUGCUUAAGAAUGACUGAUCUCAAGCAUCUCUUGAGAUUUGGGAACUCUUGAUACCAACUCCGCUCUCAGCCUCAGCUUCCCAGCCAGUCUCUAGUACUGUGAUAUUCUAGACUAGGAAGGAAACGUGGCUGGGGCCAGUGAGGUUGAGCCUUUAGGCAGAUGCCUCAGUGGCCCCAUUGGAGUUCUUGGUGGAGCUAAGAGCUGAGAUGCUGUCAGGCAAGCUGGGUGUUAUCUGUCAGAUGUUCUUCCCACACACUCAUCUCCUCAGGCCACUCUUGCGUUCCUACUUCAUUUCUCUGGGUCCUCUCUGUGGCACUAUCUUGUUCAAGAUAUCAUUCAGCACAGACUUCUUGCCUUCCCUAGGUACACCCAGACUCUGUCCUCAUUUUCUUAGGCCCUUACCCCCAACUUUUUCCCUUUCAAUCAGUCAAUCAGACAAACUCCUCUCUUAGUCCAUGUUCCCCAUCAGACUUUCCUUGGGAUCUUGGGGGAUUUGUCAGGAUUGAGGGUAAUGUCCUAGGCUUGGAUGCAGCUUUGCAGGACCUCUGCUUCUUUCAUUCUGCAGCUUUGUCUCAGUACAGGACCUCAGGACCCGCCAGCGUCUCCCAUGCUGCAGCCACCUGUCCUGGAGCAGCACUGCAUACCAGGCUUGGGCCCAAGAGGCUGGACCAAGUGGGGUCCCCCUGCCCCGGGAGCGGCUGAUACUUUUAGGGACACUAACAGAUGUAUCGGGAGACUUGGAACAAGAGUGCAGGAAUGGAAGCCUCUAUGUGAGAGAUAACACUGGUGUUCUGGGGUGUGAGCUCAUAGAUCUGGACCUUUCUUGGUUGGGCCAUCUCUUUCUGUUCCCCAGUUGGAGUUACCUCCCUCCUACCAGGUGGAGUUGCUCAGGGGAAGGGCAUUUGGAACUCUGGGGUGCCCCGGUGCCAGUGUUUCCCUUGACCAUCAGUCCUGGCCCUCUCACCCCUAUGCCUGUUCUCUACCCAGAAACUGCUUCCCGCCUGCUCAGGCACAGAAGCAAGCUCAGAGUUGG